rnacentral:rRNA from 1 species
GUGUCAGCAGCCGCGGUAAUACGGGGGGAGCCAGCGUUGUCCGGAAUCACUGGGCGUAAAGGGCGUGUAGGCGGGCAUGCCAGUCAGGUGUAAAAGUCUACGGCUUAACCGUAGUUGGUCAUCUGAUACUGCAUGUCUUGAGUUCGAGAGAGGGUGGUGGAAUUCCUGGUGUAGCGGUGAAAUGCGUAGAUAUCAGGAAGAACACCGGAUGCGAAGGCGGCCACCUGGCUCGCAACUGACGCUAAGGCGCGAAAGCGUGGGGAGCAAACAGGAUUAGAUACCCUGGUAGUCCACGCCGUAAACGAUGGGCACUAGGUGUUGGGGCCGACUUGUCGGCCUCAGUGCCGCAGCUAACGCAUUAAGUGCCCCGCCUGGGGAGUACGCUCGCAAGGGUGAAACUUAAAGGAAUUGACGGGG